GGGGAUCAUAAGUUUAUGUGCACGACAGAUAGAUCGUCGGGCUCAUAACCCGGAGGUCGCAGGUUCGAGUCCUGCCCCCG
rnacentral:tRNA from 1 species